ACACGCUUGGUGUAAUGGCAAGCAUGACAGUCUCCAAAACUGUCGGUCCUGGUUUAAAUCCCGGAGCGUGUG
rnacentral:tRNA from 1 species